GAUCGAAGGUCCCAGCGGAGAUGAACUAUGUCUUUGACGACUCGUCUCUAACACUAUGAACAAUACCUUCGUAUACUGAUGUUUGGCCGAACCAAACAACGCCUCGGAAUUUCUCAUUUCGGUGCGUUUAGAACCCCUCGGCUAUACCUGU